UACGGGGGGAGCAAGCGUUGUUCGGAUUUACUGGGCGUAAAGGGCGCGUAGGCGGCGCAACAAGUCACUUGUGAAAUCUCCGGGCUUAACCCGGAGCGGUCAAGUGAUACUGUCGUGCUAGAGUGCGGAAGGGGCUACUGGAAUUCUCGGUGUAGCGGUGAAAUGCGUAGAUAUCGAGAGGAACACCUGCGGCGAAGGCGGGGUAGCUGGGCCGACACUGACGCUGGAGGAGCGAAAGCGUGGGGAGCGAACAGG
rnacentral:rRNA from 1 species